rnacentral:rRNA from 1 species
UUGUCCUACGGGGCGCAGCAGUGGGGAAUAUUGCACAAUGGGGGAAACCCUGAUGCAGCGACGCCGCGUGAGUGAAGAAGUAUUUCGGUAUGUAAAGCUCUAUCAGCAGGGAAGAAAAAAGACGGUACCUGACCAAGAAGCCCCGGCUAACUACGUGCCAGCAGCCGCGGUAAUACGUAGGGGGCAAGCGUUAUCCGGAUUUACUGGGUGUAAAGGGAGCGUAGACGGCCAUGCAAGUCUGAUGUGAAAACCCGGGGCUCAACCCCGGGACUGCAUUGGAAACUGUGCGGCUGGAGUGUCGGAGG